UACAGAGGCCACGAGCGUUAGGCGGAAUCACUGGGCUUAAAGCGUGUGUAGGUGGAUGACUAAGUACCUUGUGAAAUCCCACGGCUCAACCGUGGAACUGCUUGGUAUACUGGUUGUCUUGAGGCACUCAGGGGCGAGCGGAACAGAUGGUGGAGCGGUGAAAAUGCGUAGAUAUCAUCUGGAACGCCAAUGGUGAAGACAGCUCGCUGGGGGGUGUACUGACACUGAGACACGGAAAAGCUAGGGGAGCAAACGGG
rnacentral:rRNA from 1 species